UACGUAGGCAGCGAGCGUUGUUCGGAAUUACUGGGCGUAAAGAGUGUGUAGGCGGUGUUCCCAGUCUGUUGUGAAAUCUCCCGGCUUAACUGGGAGGGUGCAGCGGAAACUAGAAUGCUAGAGGGUGGGAGAGGUAAGCGGAAUUCCUGGUGUAGCGGUGAAAUGCGUAGAGAUCAUGAGGAAGACCAGUGGCGAAGGCGGGUCUCUGGACAGUUCCUGACACUGAGACACGAAAGCGUGGGGAGCAAACAGG
rnacentral:rRNA from 1 species